rnacentral:lncRNA from 1 species
CUCUGUGAUCUGUGAUGCAGAGAAAUACAGAAUGUUCUGGAAGACCAAGAAGGUGGGGAAGGAGGAGGCUCAUAUGACCUAAUUUGAUGGGAACAGAGAAACUAGUCUUCAUGACAGCACAUAGUUCCCCAAAAUGAAUAAAAGCAGAGGAAGCUACCCUUUCUAGAUAAAAUACUAAAUGCAGAUGCAGUAAAAUAAACUAUCAUGAGGUUCUUCCCUUGAAGUUACAACCACAGGUGAGAAUUCCACCUGCCAUCAGGGCAGACAUUCUCUAGGUUACGGUCCUAAUAAUUAGCUGUGAGACCACCUGAAGGCUGUAUUAAAGCACAUGGAAACCAACCAAAAACAGUGACACAGUCACCAAGUGUAAAGGGCAUGCUGGAGGGGAUGAAGAUGUGGCCUGGAGUAGUAACGGAACGAUUCCUGUUGGAGACGAGUAUUCAGACAUCACUACUGUACCAUCGAUGGGUACUAACUCCCGAAAAUUUAACAGCUACUUGUAAAAGUCAAGCAUUUUGACUAAAAGUAAUCUUUAAAAGUGCAUAUGCAGAUUUAUCACCUACAAGGAUAUACUCAAAGUGUACCGAGAAAGAAAGAUCAGUAGUUAUUAAGGUAAACUUAUUUUGGCAUGGUUUAAUCAAUAAAUCCAAA